rnacentral:SRP_RNA from 1 species
GGGGGCAUACACCUGUAAUCCAGGCUACUGGGAUGGCUGAGGCUGGUGGGUCUCUUGAGCAUGGGAGUUGUGAAAUGCAGUGGGAUGCUUAUCAUGUUCUGCACUAAAUUUAGCAUUGAUAUAGUAAACUCUCUGGAAUGGGAGGCCACCAGGCUGCCUAAGGAGGUCUGAAUAGGCCCAGGCUGGAAAUGGAAUGGGCCAAAGGUCCCAUGCUGAUUAAUAGUGAAAUUGGGCUGAUGAGUGGCUGGGAGCAAUAGAGAGACCCCGUCUUUC